ACGGACUAAUUCUUCAUUUCACUUUUGUGUUGAUGUAGGUAUUCAAUCCCAGAUGAUGCAAAUUUGAAAACUCCGUAGGUUUGUUGGAUUUAGAACACUAAAAAUGGUCCUGUCUUCUGCUUGUGCUCUGGAGGCUCUCGGUGCUCAGAGCUCCUCCAAGUGUGGGCACCGCACAGAGCAGGAGGGAGCUGCAGCUUCUUGCUGCUGCCUCUCUGYAUGACCCAAAGGAACAAUUACAGCUGGAAGCUUAGAUUUAGCAAAGGAUUAUGAGGAACGAGUAACGGAUGGAAUUUGACAUCCGGUGUGG